UACGGAGGGUGCAGGCGUUAAUCGGAAUUACUGGGCGUAAAGGGUGCGCAGGCGGAUAUAUAAGUUAGAUGUGAAAUCCCCGAGCUUAACUUGGGAAUGGCAUUUAAGACUGUAUGUCUAGAGUUUGUCAGAGGGGGGUAGAAUUCCAAGUGUAGCAGUGAAAUGCGUAGAGAUGUGGAGGAACACCGAUGGCGAAGGCAGCCCCCUGGGUUAACACUGACGCUCAGGCACGAAAGCGUGGGGAGCAAAAGGG
rnacentral:rRNA from 1 species